UCUCUGUGCCCCGAAUCUCAACCCCUGCUGGCUCAGCCUCCCUGCCUCAUUCUCUCCCCCGCCCGCCGGCCGCCCCUGGCCUCAGAUUAAACAUGUCCUGGCUCAACUGUCUGCCGCCCGUGAAGUCAGCUGCCAACUGGAAGGACAGAUCCCGGGUUUUGUUUGUUUGUUGUUUGUUUGUUUCCGUCCUGAAGAUGCAACCCUAGGGCCUGGCCUGGCCAGCUCUCUACUAGUGAGCUACCUUCUCAGGCUCAGCUCCUGGCUUCUAAUUGUCUCUCCAAAAACUAGUAGGUAAAGAUGAAGAUCUACGGGUGGUAGGUGACACGGAACACCGACCGGCUCCAUAGGGUCUCACUAAAGUUGCUGAGGCUGGCCUCCCACUUGUGAUCCUCCUGCCUCAGCCUCCCCUUACAGGCGUGCACCACCACAUUCAGCUGAAGAACCGACUUCUGAUGAUUGUGCCAAGAGGCUCACCGGGUCAAGUCCCGACUCUGUCACCUCCUGGCAGCCAGGCAGGUGAGGAAAACCAUCGGGAUCAGCGCCCUGCCUGGCUCGGUGGCCUCAUGGCCGACAGAGGACAUUCAGGGCUGCCGUUGGUCCUUCGCAGCAAGCUGAAGCCCUUGAGGUGAAGAGCUGACGCACGUCUCCAGCCACCCCAUCGGGAACCAGCCUCUAGGACAAAAACCGAGCAAGAUCGGGGUCCAGGCUGGGGCUGCAGCUCAGAGACGCGCUGUAUGGAAUGUGCGCGACCCUGGGUUUGGUCCCCAGCACCGCGAAGAACUGCUAAUACAGGUUCCUAGAAGCCAGGAGACCUCUGUCACUGCUCUGCCAAUUAUUGAUUACUCCGCAACCAGCCGCCCCGAAUGCCCUGGCUUCGAGCUGCCAUGAUGUCGCUUCCUGGAGGGAGGGCUGAUGGGGCACUUGUCACUCCACAGCCAUCCUCCUCCUUCAGGAGCCCAGCUGGAGCUUCUUCCCAUGGCCCUGGGCCCCGGGAGCGUGAAGACCCCGCUCCACUUCAGAUUUCACUUCCACCAUGUCCUAUGGGUCCCAGUGGGUCACAGGACCCACCCAGGUUCCAGGACAAGGGAAACAGACUACCCUCCCGGAGAGGCGGGUGAAGUCUCAGCGCAAAGGAGCGCAGUGGGGAUUUCUGCAGCCAUCCCGGAAAUCCACCAAGUCACCGGGCAGGGCGGCCCGCGCCUGUAAUCCCAGAACCUUGGGAGGCUGAGGCAGGAGGAUCCCCAGUUCAAGGCCAGUCUGGGCGACUGACUCAGCGAGACCCUGUCUCAGCAUAAAACCUAAAGAGGACUAGUUCAAAGGUCGAGCACCCCUGGGGCCCCUCCCCAAUCUUGUGCCAAAAAAGGAAAAUGAAUGAAAACUAACCUGCACGUGGCCUCUACUCUGCCACCCUCACCGUUAGCUGGGUGGAAAGUUCCAAUGGAGACGUGGCCCCUCUGAAGGUCACAAGAUAUUCCUCACCAUGUAGUAAACCUCCACUGACCGACCUACGGUCUACCCUGAAUCCACCCGAGGCAUCACACAUGAACUUGGAGGAGGGAGUUUCUAGUUCCAAAGGAACAGGUCCCUGAGCCAGGAACCAGGCCCGGGGUGGUGCCCAGCUCCCUCCAGGUGCCCGGGUCCCCGUGCCCAGUCUGCCCCUUCUCUUUGGGACCCCACGGUUCCGACUGCUCCCCGCAUCCCUCUCCCCCAGUUGGCUGGUGAGGCCUGGCUCCCCGCCGCCCCAGCUCCGUCCCAGGUGUUAACGAGUUAACCUGCCCCUGCGUCUGCAGAUCCUCGGGUGAGACAUAAUUACAGAG